GCCCCUGUAGCUCAACUGGAUAGAGCGGAGGGUUUCUACCCCUCAGGUUGCGGGUUCGAGUCCUGUCAGGGGUG
rnacentral:tRNA from 1 species